rnacentral:lncRNA from 1 species
UUUGAAUUUCAGAACUGCAGAUGAGAGAGUUUGUGGGUCCGCAGCAUAUCGAUUUGCUAGGCACGAUGGAAGAAAUUAUUCACUAUAGGAAUUGAGAAACUCUAGAAGAUUUCCUAACCAGGAGAGUGAAGUUCUGGUUGGAGACCUACUAAAUCAGACCAUCUGGGAGUGGACCGGGAGAAGAUAAGUUUAACAAGCUCUCAGAUCUUUGUGAACGGAUAAAUGUGUCAACUUUGCAGCAAACAGGCUCCAGCUGGAGUGAGGAUUGGGAUUCAAGUACUUGAGCUUUUUGGGCUUCUGUUUCUCUAGAGAUCAAGACUGCCCGACUGGAAGAUCUGUGACUGACAUGCAUAUGAAUGUGCUUGGACUAGGACUCUACAUUUCCUCCUCCUCUUGCUCCUCAACUACUCAAGUACUUUGAUGCAAUGUCUCCUGCAUGACUAGCCCUCUGCUACACACUGCAGAAAGAAUGGUUGAUUCCUACUCUCAGAGAACUUACUGUCUCCGCAAAGAGAAAACACCUGCACAUGUGAGUGUGCAUUAAUGCCAGAGCUUUUAAUUUGGUCACAGUUCAACUGAAUACUGUUACCACUUCAGAGCUACAUCAACAUAUGUCCUUUUUACUUUGACUUUUGGGGAAAUGCUAAACUUAUAUGGCAGAGAUACUAAAGAGGGAGGAAACCUAAAAGAGCAUGGGAGAGACAUUCAUAUCAAGAUAUGAUAAGAUAUGAAUAUGGUUACCUUAUUUUUAUAAACAAAGGAUUUACUAGAAGUGGGGUAAAGGGACAGGACUUUGAUGUCAAAAUAGUACUGACUUUGCAUCUUAUUUCUGCCUUUAUCAGCUUUAUGACCUUAGGCAUGUUAACUAAAUCUGUGUCUCAGUUUACCCAUAUAUAAUAUGGAGACAAUAACACUUACUCCAUGGGGCUGCCAUGUGGAUUAGGUCAGUUUCUCUCUAUGGAAUCACCUGGAACCGUGAACACUCGUUUCUGUGUUCUCUCUGCCCCAGGAAACUUGGCUCAUUUGUGUUUCUGCAUUUGUUCUUUAUCCUGCGUCAUUCAUUUAUCUGGUGCUCAUUGGUUUUUCACACUGGAUUGUGAGCUCUUAGAGUACAUGGACCUCAUCUUUCUAGUUCUCAUUUCUUGUGUCUGGCAUAUGUAGUAAGCUCUCUGCAAAGGUUUUUUUGAGAAAAGAGAUGUGUGAAUUACAGACUUAGUAAAGGAAGUGGUAUGGUAACUAUUUAAACAGCUCAUUAAUAAAAAUGUAUGCGUGUGUUGUCUUUAUUAUAAACUUUACUGAUUUAAAGGAUGUAUAGCACAAAUCUACAAAUUAUAAAAUAUAUAAUAUACUUUGGCUUUCUUCCGUAGAGCCAAUUGAUUCUUUCAGAGUGCUUUCUUAAGUAUAGAUCAGGGGUUGGCAAAGUACGUCCUGUGAGUCAAAUCUGACCCACCACCUACCUUUGUAAUAAAAUUUCAUUGAAAAAUAGUCACACUCAGUGACUGCUUUUGCACUACAAUGACAGAGUUAAGUAGUUGUGACACAGAUCAUAUAGCCCACAAAGCCUAAAGUAUUUACCAUCUGGCCCUUUACAGAAAAAGGAAUCUGUCUAUCCUUCCCUAUACUCUUCUCUUCCUAUUCCCCAUCUGUCCUCUUCAUUCUUCAACUUCUUCUUGUGCAAUCCUUAAAUGUCAAAACCACUUUUAGCUUGUGAUCCCUGCAAAAAUAAGCUAAGGGCUGGAUUCGUCCAUCAAGUCAUAUAUGGUUGAGCCCUGGUCUUGACAAUCAAUAGAACAAUAAAUCAUGU